rnacentral:lncRNA from 1 species
UCUCAGUCAUUUUUUGCAAUCCAUUGUCUUGCAAUACAGUGACAAACCAUGGUGUCUGAUUUUAAAUUGAUUACAGCUCUCAGCUAUCGCGUUAUCAUUCAAGUUCAAUACAUUUUCCCAUACCAUCGGUAUAUGAUGACAUUGAUGCAUGCAGUAGCCUCUAUCCAUUUGAUGAAGUAACUGAUGAUCUCAAUAGUGGAGCAAUACCCAUUAGAAGUCUUCGAUAAUGGUGAUGUCCAUGCCCUAUUUUGCUCAAAAUUUGAGUCGCCCUUUUUUGGGUUUUCUACUCAAAACCAC